UACGUAGGGGGCAAGCGUUGUCCGGAAUCAUUGGGCGUAAAGAGCUCGUAGGCGGCUUGUCGCGUCGGAUGUGAAAGCCCGGGGCUUAACUCCGGGUCUGCAUUCGAUACGGGCAGGCUAGAGUUCGGUAGGGGAGAUCGGAAUUCCUGGUGUAGCGGUGAAAUGCGCAGAUAUCAGGAGGAACACCGGUGGCGAAGGCGGUUCUCUGGGCCUUACCUGACGCUGAGGAGCGAAAGCGUGGGGAGCGAACAGG
rnacentral:rRNA from 1 species